rnacentral:rRNA from 1 species
GUGCCAGCCGCCGCGGUAAUACGUAGGUGGCAAGCGUUAUCCGGAAUUAUUGGGCGUAAAGCGCGCGUAGGCGGUUUUUUAAGUCUGAUGUGAAGGCCCACGGCUCAGCCGUGGAGGGUCAUUGGAAACUGGAAAACUUGAGUGCAGAAGAGGAAAGUGGAAUUCCAUGUGUAGCGGUGAAAUGCGCAGAUAUCAGGAGGAACACCGAUGGCGAAGGCAAGUUACUGGGCAGUCACUGACGCUGAGGAGCGAAAGCAUGGGUAUCAAACAGGAUUAGAUACCCUGGUAGUC